UAAAACUCUUAUGCCAUAAACUCUCUCUGCCUUCUCUCUAGAUGUCCAGUUCAAAGAACUGUAGGAAUUUGAUUUUUGUGUUGCCCAAGCAUCCACAACGUAGAGAGCUCCAUUUCCACUGAUUGUUUUGUUCAUUCCAAUUGAUGGCGAGGAGGUUCUUUUGGAGACGACCUUGGAAGUUGAGGAAAAUGCUGCUGUCUAGUCUCCUUAGG
rnacentral:sRNA from 1 species